CUAUUAAUAUAAAUUAUUUUUUAAUUAUAUAAUAAAAAUAUAUGAAAAUUCAUUAAGGGUAACUAUGACAUCAAUCAAUUUAACUUUUAACGUGAGCGCUCUAUUGCAAAAAAUCACUUCACAAAAAAUAGUAUAGAUAGAUUAAUUCGUUCACACAAUAAUUUUUUAAUUCCACCGUAGAAAAUUUAAUGUCUUCACAUUAAUUUGUUUUUAAUCAGCUCAUUUUAGCUCCUCAAUUUUUAACCUUCGUAUUAGUGAAUUGAAAUUAUAUCUGUUCAACUACAGAAUAAUAUCAUUUUGAAAGAAAUAAAUUAUAAAAUAAUAAGAUUCGCAGCAACUAAACUGCUGGAAUGAGAAUGUUUUUGGAA
rnacentral:lncRNA from 1 species